rnacentral:tRNA from 2 species
GCCGGGGUAGCUCAGUGGUAGAGCACGGCUUUCGUAAAGCUGAGGUCGUCGGUUCGAAUCCGAUCCCCGGCUCCA